rnacentral:lncRNA from 1 species
GGGGGAAUGCGCGUGCACAGACACGAUCAUGCGUGGGUGACUAGGCUGGCUCUCACAGGAUGGAGGGGGAGAGUCCACGUGGCCAUCUGCAGCUGGACACUGAGGACACUGCAGCUGCCCAGCCACGAAGCCGCAACCACAGAAUGAGAGAUGAGGCCCAGAGCCCCCUGGAGAGUCGCCGCUCCGAGGCCACCCGAAGGCUGAGGAUGCUGGGGUCUGAAGGCCACGGGCAAUGGCGGCUGCAGUGACAAAUCUCACCAGCCUACAGGACAAGGAGGAGUUUGGGUUGGCAGGAAGGAGGCCAGGCGAGCACAGCUGAGGAGCUGCAGCCAACCCUACGCUUGGCUCUGCGGGUCCCAGGUUGCUGGCUGGAGUCUG